GACGAACGCUGGCGGCGUGCUUAACACAUGCCAGUCGAACGGAAAGGCCCUGCUUGCAGGGUACUCGAGUGGCGAACGGGUGAGUAACACGUGGGUGAUCUGCCCUGCACUUCGGGAUAAGCCUGGGAAACUGGGUCUAAUACCGGAUAGGAGCCAUUUUUAGUGUGAUGGUUGGAAAGUUUUUUCGGUGUAGGAUGAGCUCGCGGCCUAUCAGCUUGUUGGUGGGGUAAUGGCCUGCCAAGGCGGCGACGGGUAGCCGGCCUGAGAGGGUGGACGGCCACAUUGGGACUGAGAUACGGCCCAGACUCCUACGGGAGGCAGCAGUGGGGAAUAUUGCACAAUGGGCGCAAGCCGGAUGCAGCGACGCCGCGUGGGGGAGGACGGCCUUCGGGUUGUAAACUCCGUUCGCUAGGGACGAAGCUUUUUGUGACGGUACCUAGAUAAGAAGCACCGGCUAACUACGUG
rnacentral:rRNA from 1 species